UUCCGGUUGAUCCCGCCGGACCCCACUGCUAUCGGGGUGGGACUAAAACAUGCGAGUCGAGCGUCUUCAAGCUAUGGUGAAGGCACGGCGAACGGCUCAGUAACACGUGGCUAACCUACCCUUUGGACGGGGACAACCCCGGGAAACUGGGGCUAAUCCCCGAUAGAUGAGAAGUCCUGGAAUGGUUUCUCAUCCAAAAGGUGUUUAGACCAUGCUUCUAGACGCCGCCAAAGGAUGGGGCCGCGGCCGAUCAGGUUGCUGGUGAGGUAACGGCUCACCAAGCCUAUAACCGGUACGGGCCGUGAGAGCGGGAGCCCGGAGAUGGGCACUGAGACAAGGGCCCAGGCCCUACGGGGCGCAGCAGUUGCGAAAACUCCGCAAUACGCGAAAGCGUGACGGGGCUACCCCGAGUGCCGUCCGCUGAGGAC
rnacentral:rRNA from 1 species